CAGCAGACCACGGAGCGAGCCAUAUCCGAUCAGAGAGAAGAAACCGGGCUUGGCCAGGAGUUCAGGGUCUCAGAGAGGUGAGGCCUUUGGUCUCAGUGGCCACACCAGGCCAGAGAUAAGAAUCUCAAGCUUGUCCUCGAGUUACGGGAGGUGAGAAUCUAGCUAGGUCUGAGGAGGCAACAUCACGUCAGCAGACAGAAGACGCCCAGAGUCUGUCGGGACUUAAGAAUCUCGGGAAAGUGAGCUUUGCUGUGGUCUGAGGUAGUGACAGAAAGUCAGCAGAGGAAGGAGCCCGGCUUUACCAGGAGUCUAGAUACAAUGAGGACUGGCUGACCAGACAGGAGACCUCUGAGACGCGAGCACCAGCUAAAGAGACUAUCUGUCAGUAGGACAUUACUGCGCACAGUCUUGUUCACACUCCAGUCUACUGUGUGCAACAAGAGUCAUCAUGCCUUUCCCUUCAAAGCAUCGGCGCUACAUGCUGGACCAUGACUGUCAGGCCCAAAUUGAAAAUCAGAGCUUGGUGGAUGCUCAGGUUCCUGCGGCUGAAGAGGAGGGCCAGGAGAUAUCUUCAUCUUCCUCGUCCCCCUUAAAUGUCUCAUCUUCCUCAUCCCCCUCACAUGUAUCAUCGUCCUCUUCCACAUCUCUGCCUUCUCCCCCCUUAUCUUCUUCAUUCAGUUUAUAUUCUGCCUCGCCCUCCUCCAGAUCUCUUUCUCCAUCCUCUUCAUCAUCAUGUUCCUUCCACUUUUCCUACCCCCCCACUAGCUCCUCCUCCUCUUCCC